UAGUGUGUGCCCCGCGCAGGAUGAGAACAAGGGAGGCGUAUAACAUAUAAAAGAGGGGUAAGAGUGCCUGCUCUCCUUAGACCGGCGNACGGGUGCGUAACACGUGUACAAUCUACCUUUUACUAAGGGAUAGCCCGAAGAAAUUUGGAUUAAUACCUUAUAGUAUUGUUUGAUGGCAUCAUUAAAUAAUUAAAGCUACGGUGGAAAAGAUGAGUACNCGNCCCAUUAGCUAGUUGGAGUGGUAACCGGCACACCAAGGCUACGAUGGGUAGGGGUUCUGAGAGGGAUGUCCCCCACACUGGUACUGAGACACGGACCAGACUCCUACGGGAGGCAGCAGUGAGGAAUAUUGGACAAUGGUCGGAAGACUGAUCCAGCCAUGCCGCGUGCAGGAUGACGGCCUUAUGGGUUGUAAACUGCUUUUAUACAGGAAGAAUAAGGUCUACGAGUAGAUUGAUGACGGUACUGUAUGAAUAAGCAUCGGCUAACUCCGUGCCAGCAGCCGCGGUAAUACGGAGGAUGCGAGCGUUAUCCUGGAAUCAUUGGGUUUAAAGGGUCCGUAGGCGGGCUUAUAAGUCAGAGGUGAAAGCACUGAGCUCAACUGAGUAACUGCCUUUGAAACUGUAUGUCUUNAAUAUUUGUGAAGUAGCUGGAAUGUGUAGUGUAGCGGUGAAAUGCAUAGAUAUUACACGAGAACACCGAUUGCGAAGGCAUGUUACUAACGACCUUAUUGACGCUGAUGGACGAAAGCGUGGGGAGCGAACAGGAUUAGAUACCCUGGUAGUCCACGCUGUAAACGAUGGAUACUAGCUGUUUGGUAGUCAUUUUGAGUGGCUAAGCGAAAGUGAUAAGUAUCCCACCUGGGGAGCGCGCACGCAAGUGUGAAACUCAAAGGAAUUGACGGGGGCCCGCACAAGCGGUGGAGCAUGUGGUUUAUUCGAUUGAUACGCGAGGAACCUUCCAAGGUUUA
rnacentral:rRNA from 1 species